rnacentral:rRNA from 1 species
AUUGAACGCUGGCGGAAUGCUUUACACAUGCAAGUCGAACGGCAGCACGGGGGCAACCCUGGUGGCGAGUGGCGAACGGGUGAGUAAUACAUCGGAACGUGCCCGGUCGUGGGGGAUAACGUAGCGAAAGUUACGCUAAUACCGCAUACGAUCUGAGGAUGAAAGCGGGGGACCUUCGGGCCUCGCGCGCUCGGAGCGGCCGAUGUCAGAUUAGGUAGUUGGUGGGGUAAAGGCCUACCAAGCCGACGAUCUGUAGCUGGUCUGAGAGGACGACCAGCCACACUGGGACUGAGACACGGCCCAGACUCCUACGGGAGGCAGCAGUGGGGAAUUUUGGACAAUGGGCGCAAGCCUGAUCCAGCCAUUCCGCGUGCAGGACGAAGGCCUUCGGGUUGUAAACUGCUUUUGUAUGGAACGAAAAGGCUCUGGCUAAUACCUGGGGCUCAUGACGGUACCGUAAGAAUAAGCACCGGCUAACUACGUG